CACGUAGUUAGCCGGGGCUUUCUCGUGAGGUACCGUCACCACGCCGCCCUCUUCGAACGGCGCUCCUUCGUCCCUCACAACAGAGCUUUACGACCCGAAGGCCUUCUUCGCUCACGCGGCGUCGCUCCGUCAGGCUUUCGCCCAUUGCGGAAGAUUCCCUACUGCUGCCUCCCGUAGGAGUCUGGGCCGUGUCUCAGUCCCAGUGUGGCCGGUCACCCUCUCAGGCCGGCUACGCAUCGUCGCCUUGGUGAGCCGUUACCUCACCAACUAGCUAAUGCGCCGCGGGCCCAUCCGCAAGUGACAGCCCAAAGGCCGCCUUUCAACCGAAGACCAUGCGGUCUUCGGUGUUAUCCGGUAUUAGCUCCGGUUUCCCGGAGUUAUCCCGGUCUUGCGGGCAGGUUGCCCACGUGUUACUCACCCGUCCGCCGCUGACCGAAUCAAGGCAAGCCCCAAUCCGGUCCGCUCGACUUGCAUGUAUUAGGCACGCCGCCAGCGUUCGUCCUGAGCCAGGAUCAAACUCU
rnacentral:rRNA from 1 species